UACGGAGGGGGCUAGCGUUGUUCGGAAUUACUGGGCGUAAAGCGCACGUAGGCGGCUUUGUAAGUUAGAGGUGAAAGCCCGGGGCUCAACUCCGGAAUUGCCUUUAAGACUGCAUCGCUAGAAUUGUGGAGAGGUAAGUGGAAUUCCGAGUGUAGAGGUGAAAUUCGUAGAGAUCCGGAAGAACACCGGUGGCGAAGGCGGCCUGCUGGGCAGUGGCUGACACUGAGGAGCGACAGCGUGGGGAGCAAACAGG
rnacentral:rRNA from 1 species